AACGAACGCUGGCGGCAUGCCUAAUACAUGCAAGUCGAACGAGAUCUUCGGAUCUAGUGGCGCACGGGUGCGUAACGCGUGGGAAUCUGCCCUUGGGUUCGGAAUAACUUCUGGAAACGGAAGCUAAUACCGGAUGAUGACGUAAGUCCAAAGAUUUAUCGCCCAAGGAUGAGCCCGCGUAGGAUUAGCUAGUUGGUGGGGUAAAGGCCCACCAAGGCGACGAUCCUUAGCUGGUCUGUGAGGAUGAUCAGCCACACUGGGACUGAGACACGGCCCAGACUCCUACGGGAGGCAGCAGUAGGGAAUAUUGGACAAUCGGGGGAACCCUGAUCCAGCAAUGCCGCGUGAGUGAUGAAGGCCUUAGGGUUGUAAAGCUCUUUUACCCGGGAUGAUAAUGACAGUACCGGGAGAAUAAGCUCCGGCUAACUCCGUG
rnacentral:rRNA from 1 species